rnacentral:rRNA from 1 species
AUUGAACGCUGGCGGCAGGCCUAACACAUGCAAGUCGAACGGUAGCACAGAGAGCUUGCUCUCGGGUGACGAGUGGCGGACGGGUGAGUAACGUCUGGGAAACUGCCCGAUGGAGGGGGAUAACUACUGGAAACGGUAGCUAAUACCGCAUAACGUCGCAAGACCAAAGUGGGGGACCUUCGGGCCUCACACCAUCGGAUGUGCCAAGAUGGGAUUAGCUAGUAGGUGGGGUAAUGGCUCACCUAGGCGACGAUCCCUAGCUGGUCUGAGAGGAGGACCAGCCACACUGGAACUGAGACACGGUCCAGACUCCUACGGGAGGCAGCAGUGGGGAAUAUUGCACAAUGGGCGCAAGCCUGAUGCAGCCAUGCCGCGUGUAUGAAGAAGGCCUUCGGGUUGUAAAGUACUUUCAGCGGGGAGGAAGGCGGUGAAGUUAAUAGCUUCACCGAUUGACGUUACCCGCAGAAGAAGCACCGGCUAACUCCGUGCCAGCAGCCGCAGUAA